AACCAAUCCCAUUCACUCACUCUCCUCUCCGAAGCAUAACCCAUCUCUCUCUCUCUCUUCACAGCCAAAAGGCAAGGCCUUUUGAUGCAAAAUAACCAAAAACACUAAUAACCUAAAAUUCAUUUUAUUGAAAAACAAAUAUAAUUAUCACUGUAGCAGCAGCAAAUACAAUAAUAACAGUAACCAAAGUUCAAGAUAAUUGCAUAAUUCAUCACCCACCUUCCAUUAAUCACAUAUAUUUUUUAUUUUUUUUUAUUUUCUUUGCUUAGCAAGAGUAGCAAAGAUAAUAUUUUUACAUUAAUUAGAAUUCCUUGGUGACCUUUAAAGAAAGAAAAGAAAGAAAAACAUGUGAUAUAUUAUAUAGUUGAUAUAGUAGUUUGGUUGGUGUAUAUUUGUGUUUGUAGGAGAGAUGUCAGGUGGUGGUUGUAGCAUAGUUUGGUUCAGGAGAGAUCUAAGAGUAGAAGAUAAUCCAGCACUUGCAGCUGGUGUUAGAGCUGGGGCUGUUGUUGCCGUCUUUGUAUGGGCUCCUGAGGAAGAAGGUCAUUAUUACCCUGGUAGAGUAUCUAGGUGGUGGCUUAAGCAAAGUUUGGCUCAUUUGGAUUCUUCUUUGAGAAGUCUUGGCACUGUUCUUGUUACUAAAAGAUCAACUGAUAGUGUUUCUUCCCUUCUUGAAGUUGUUAAAUCUACUGGUGCUACUCAACUCUUCUUCAACCACUUGUAUGAUCCAAUUUCACUGGUUAGGGAUCAUCGGGCAAAGGAGGUUUUGACUGCACAAGGCAUAGCUGUAAGAUCUUUUAACGCGGAUUUGCUAUAUGAACCCUGGGAAGUUAAUGAUGUCCAAGGACGCCCCUUCUCUACCUUUGCUGCUUUUUGGGAAAGAUGCCUUAGCAUGCCUUAUGAUCCAGAGGCUCCACUUCUCCCACCUAAGAGAAUUAUUUCAGGUGAUAUAUCUAGAUGCCCUUCAGACACACUGAUAUUUGAAGAUGAAUCAGAAAAGGGAAGCAAUGCACUGCUUGCUCGAGCAUGGUCACCUGGGUGGAGCAAUGCUAAUAAAGCGCUAACUACAUUCAUCAAUGGGCCACUUAUUGAGUACUCAAAGAAUCGUAGAAAGGCUGAUAGUGCUACAACCUCCUUUCUUUCUCCUCAUUUGCAUUUUGGUGAGGUUAGUGUGAGAAAGGUCUUACAUCUUGUUCGCAUUAAGCAAGUUCUGUGGGCAAAUGAAGGGAACAAGGCUGGUGAAGAAAGUGUGAACUUGUUUCUUAAAUCAAUUGGUCUUAGGGAAUAUUCAAGAUACCUGAGUUUUAACCAUCCUUAUAGUCAUGAACGCCCUCUUCUUGGGCAUCUUAAGUUUUUUCCUUGGAUUGUGAAUGAAGGCUAUUUUAAGGCUUGGAGACAAGGUAGAACUGGUUAUCCAUUGGUUGAUGCAGGAAUGAGAGAGUUGUGGGCCACUGGUUGGCUGCAUGAUCGAAUACGAGUAGUUGUUUCUAGUUUCUUUGUAAAGGUUCUACAGCUUCCAUGGAGAUGGGGAAUGAAGUAUUUCUGGGAUACCCUCUUGGAUGCAGAUUUAGAGAGUGAUGCUCUUGGUUGGCAGUACAUAUCUGGUACUCUUCCUGAUGGCCGAGAGUUUGAUCGUAUAGACAACCCACAGUUUGAGGGAUACAAAUUUGAUCCCCAUGGAGAAUAUGUACGACGGUGGCUUCCUGAACUUGCCAGGCUGCCAACUGAAUGGAUACAUCAUCCAUGGAAUGCACCUGAAUCUGUACUCCAAGCUGCUGGAAUUGAGCUAGGAUCAAAUUACCCUCUCCCCAUUGUAGGGAUAGAUGCAGCUAAAGUCAGGUUGCAAGAAGCACUUUCAGAAAUGUGGCAGCACGAAGCCGCUUCCAGAGCUGCUAUUGAGAAUGGGACUGAAGAAGGUCUAGGAGACUCUUCUGAAUCAGCUCCAAUUGCCUUCCCUCAAGAUAUACAAAUGGAAGAAAACCUUGAACCUAUAAGAAACAAUCCUCCUAUUCCAAUUCGCCGUUAUGAGGAUCAGAUGGUUCCAAGCAUGACUUCUUCUUUGCUAAGAGUUGAAGAAGAAGAAACUUCGUCAGAUCUUCGAAAUGCUGCAGAAGAUAGCAGAGCUGAGGUGCCAAGAGAUGUAAAUGUCAAUCAAGAACAAAGAAGAAACCUUGGGGUUGCACAAGCUUUUCGUAGUAACAACUUACCAAAUGUUAAUAUUCUCAGAGGUCUGCCAAAUACUGAGGAUUCAACAGCAGAAUCUUCGAGUAGUACUAGGAGAGAGAGGGAUGGAGGUAUAGUUCCAGUGUGGUCUCCUCCAAGCACUAGUUACUCAGAGCAGUUUGCUGGUGAUGAAAACGGUAUUGGAACCAGUUCUUCUUACUUGCAAAGGCAUCCGCAAUCUCACCAGAUAAUUAAUUGGAGGCGGCUGUCUCAGACUGGGUAAGAAGUAAGAACCCUGAAGGAUUGGCAAGACUAAGAAAAUAUCAUCCACCCUCUUAUAUUUGAUUGCAGUUCAUAGUUUGUCCUGCAGUCAGUGUUACAUUAGCCAGCAAGUUCCAUUUUCCUGAUGACUGAAGGUAAAACAUGUAAUCAUGGCGAGACCGGAUGCUAGAAGGAGAUGAAUUGAUGCUUAUUCAUGCAAGUCAGUGGGUUGAUAAAACAAAGAUCAACGGAUGCUAUGACCAAACUAUGCUCUUCUCACUAUUCUAAACAGAUUAGCGGUUUGACUUUCAAUGUGUAUGACAGUCCAGAAAGAUCAGGCAGUCCAACUGCUGUACCAUAAUACAUAGUUCUUCUGUAUAGUAUUUAUGAGGGAUGAGAGUGAUUAUAGGGAUUUUAGUUCUCAAAUAAACCAAGGUUUGUGCUUUCCCUUUAAUCGGUUAGGCAGAUAAUUUACUGUUAUUUUGUGCUCGUUAUCUGAUUCCUGGCCAUUGGCAUUUCUUUU